rnacentral:rRNA from 1 species
AUUGAACGCUGGCGGAAUGCUUUACACAUGCAAGUCGAACGGUAGAGGGGGCAACCCCUUGAGAGUGGCGAACGGGUGAGUAAUAUAUCGGAACGUGCCCAGUCGUGGGGAUAACGUAGCGAAAGUUACGCUAAUACCGCAUACGAUCUAUGGAUGAAAGCGGGGGAUCGCAAGACCUCGCGCGAUUGGAGCGGCCGAUAUCAGAUUAGGUAGUUGGUGAGGUAAAGGCUCACCAAGCCAACGAUCUGUAGCUGGUCUGAGAGGACGACCAGCCACACUGGAACUGAGACACGGUCCAGACUCCUACGGGAGGCAGCAGUGGGGAAUUUUGGACAAUGGACGCAAGUCUGAUCCAGCCAUUCCGCGUGCAGGAUGAAGGCCCUCGGGUUGUAAACUGCUUUUAUACGGAACGAAACGGUGAGCUCUAAUACAGUUUGCUAAUGACGGUACCGUAAGAUAAGCACCGGCUAACUACGUGCCA